rnacentral:lncRNA from 1 species
UGGGGGGGGGUCUUAAAGCUCCCCCCCCCCCAAAAAGGCCCCGCACGGCGUGUCAGCAUAAGAGUAUCACAGCUGGAGGUGAUGCUGAAGCAGCUGAGGGGAACUGCAGGAGGAGCAGGAGGCGAAGGCCCGUUUGCACGCUGAGCUGCGGACGCUGCGACGCAGCAACCGCCGGCUGCAACGUGAGCACGAGGACGCGGCUGCACGACUGCGGCGUGUCACACAACUGUUGCACGAGGACCCCCCCGAAACCCCCCCCGACACACCCCCAGGGACACCCCCCCUUUAAAGGGACCCCCCUUGCACACGCGUGUGCAAGCACUUGACACCCACCCACCCCCCNUUUAAAGGGACCCACAUCCCCUUUAAAGGGACCCCCUUGCACACGCGCGUGCAAGCACUUGUGCAUGAGGCCUUGCACAACUAUGGUGCAUGAGGCCUUGCACAACUAUGGUGCAUGUGCUUCACAACCCCCUUUAAAGGGACCCCCUUUGCACACGCGUGUGUGCGAUCGCUUGUGCGUGAGGUCUUGGACCCCCCUUGCACACACGUGUGCAAGCACUUGACACCCUCCCCCCUUAAAGGGACCCACAUCCCCUUUAAGGGGACCCCCUUGCACAUGCGCGUGCAAGCACUUGUGCAUGAGGCCUUGCACAACAACGGUGCAAGUCCUUGACCCCACCCCCUUUAAAGGGAGCCCUUGCACACGCGUGUGCAAGCACUAGUGCAUGAGGCCUGUGAUUGAGAGCCCCUCUUUUAAAGGGACCACCCCCUUGCACACGCGUGUGUGCGAUCGCUUGUGCAUGAGGUCUUGGACCCCCCUUGCACACGCGUGUGCAAGCACUUGUGCAUGAAGCCUUGCACAACGAUUGUGUGAGUCCUUGACACCCCCCCUUUAAAGGGACCCCCCCUUGCACACGUGUGUGCAAGCAACUACUCAUGCACAACGCCUUGCACGACUAUGGUGUGCAUGUGUGCAAGGGGGGCUUGCACUAUGGUGGUGCACACUCGUGUGCUGCCGUGCACACCCCCACUGUGUGCUCACCCCCACCUUGCACACUUGUGUGCUCACACCCAUUGUGCACACUUGUGUAGAGUACUCAUGUAUUACACACUCACCUUGCACACCCACCUUGCACACUCACACCCAAUGGACCCCCAUUGCACACUCACCCACCCUCACGUAUUACACACACUCACCUUGCACACCCACUCCUCGUGCCCCCCCUCGCUCACACUCCUUGCACACCCACUCCUCGUGCACACUCCCCUUGCACUUACACUCAUUCACUCUCCUUUGCACACUCACACUUCAUGCAACCACUCCCUCUUUGCACACCCCCCCCGGUGAACUCAUGCCCCCUCCCCUUGCACAC